GUUUUUGAUGGAAUGCAGUAAUUUACUAGUAUCAUGCAACAGAGACAUAUGUACACAAGAAUCAGUCACCAUGCUUAC